UGGCGAACGGGUGAGUAAUAUAUCGGAACGUGCCCAGUCGUGGGGGAUAACGUAGAGAAAUUUACGCUAAUACCGCAUACGAUCUAAGGAUGAAAGCGGGGGACUUCGCAAGAGGCCUCGCGCGAUUGGAGCGGCUGAUAUCAGAUUAGGUUGUUGGUGAGGUAAAAGCUCACCAAGCCGACGAUCUGUAGCUGGUUUGAGAGAACGACCAGCCACACUGGGACUGAGACACGGCCCAGACUCCUACGGGAGGCAGCAGUGGGGAAUUUUGGACAAUGGGCGAAAGCCUGAUCCAGCAAUGCCGCGUGCAGGAAGAAGGCCUUCGGGUUGUAAACUGCUUUUGUACGGAACGAAAAGGUCUGCCUUAAUACGGUGGGCCCAUGACGGUACCGUAAGAAUAAGCACCGGCUAACUACGUGCCAGCAGCCGCGGUAAUACGUAGGGUGCGAGCGUUAAUCGGAAUUACUGGGCGUAAAGCGUGCGCAGGCGGUGAUGUAAGACAGUUGUGAAAUCCCCGGGCUCAACCUGGGAAUUGCAUCU
rnacentral:rRNA from 1 species